GUCCAUGCCGUAAACGUUGGGCACUAGGUGUGGGGGACAUUCCACGUUUUCCGCGCCGUAGCUAACGCAUUAAGUGCCCCGCCUGGGGGAGUACGGCCGCAAGGCUAAAAACUCAAAAGGAAUUGACGGGGGCCCGCACAAGCGGCGGAGCAUGCGGAUUAAUUCGAUGCAACGCGAAGAACCUUACCAAGGCUUGACAUGGGCCGGACCGGGCUGGAAACAGUCCUUCCCCCUUUGGGGCCGGUUCACAGGUGGUGCAUGGUUGUCGU
rnacentral:rRNA from 1 species